rnacentral:misc_RNA from 1 species
UCCGGUUUGUCACCGGCAGUCUCAUUAGAGUGCCCUUUCGUAGCAACUAAUGACAAGGGUUGCGCUCGUUGCGGGACUUAACCCAACAUCUCACGACACGAGCUGACGACAGCCAUGCAGCACCUGUGUUCCGAUUCUCUUGCGAGCACACCUCAAUCUCUCGAGGCUUUCAGACAUGUCAAGGGUAGGUAAGGUUUUUCGCGUUGCAUCGAAUUAAUCCACAUCAUCCACCGCUUGUGCGGGUCCCCGUCAAUUCCUUUGAGUUUUAAUCUUGCGACCGUACUCCCCAGGCGGUCAACUUCACGCGUUAGCUGCGCUACUAAAGCCCGAAGGCCCCAACAGCUAGUUGACAUCGUUUAGGGCGUGGACUAC